GAUGAAGAACGCAGCGAACGUGCGAAACGUAAUGUGAAUUGCAGAAUUCAGUGAAUCAUCGAAUCUUUGAACGCAUCUUGCGCUCCUUGGUAUUCCGAGGAGCAUGCCCGUUUGAGUGUCGUGAAUACUCUCAACUUCAACCCUUUUUUCGGAAAGGGAGGAAGGUUGGACUUGGGUGUUUGUUGAAGUGCGAGCUUCGACUCAUCCUAAAUGCAUUAGCGAUCUGCCUCGAUCACACACAAUGUGAUAAUUAAAACUAAAGCAUUGUUUAAUGAUCAAGUCGAGACUGCUUCUAACUGUCGCAAGACAAUAACGUGCAUACAUUUGUGCAUGUCAUUUGACCUCAAAUCAGGUAGGACUACCCGCUGAACUUAAGCAUAUCAAUAAGCGGAGGA
rnacentral:misc_RNA from 1 species